rnacentral:antisense_RNA from 1 species
AGUUGGAGCUGGAACUCAGCUCGCUGACCCCAAGCAGUGUUCCCUUCUUUUCGCCGGGUUUGCAUCCAAGAGAGGGGAGGACAGGGGCAAAAGGAUGCAGGGAGGCUGCUGAUUUCCACUGGAGAGCUAAUUUCCUGUGAGAUAUUAACCGUGAUUUAAGAAAAAAAUUCCUGUAACUGAGACAAUUAGGAAAAAAGUAAACAAAUGGAGCAGGAUUUGGGCAUAACAGCAUGCUCCUCCCAUCCCCCAAAUCCCAGGAGUGUCACUGAGUAAUGUCUUACAAUAACAGAAUGCAGGAGAGCACAUAUCAAUGAAGAAAAGACAAAAUGUAUUUAUCCAUGAAGCUGAGGUUAAGAAACCAGUGUCUUCAAGAGCCGGGGACAGCACUGGGUCUGUGCAGAGUUGAGAGAUGGUGAUGACAUGUGGUUUCCAGCAUUCCUGGCCCAGUCCAGGGACACUGUGGGUGUGCCCAGCUUAAGUCCAGUAACUGGAAAUACAAGCCCAAGUUCUGGAGAGUU